UACGGGGGGGGCAAGCGUUGUCCGGAUUUAUUGGGCGUAAAGAGCGUGUAGGCGGCCAUACAGGUCAGCUGUGAAAACUCGAGGCUCAACCCCGAGCCUGCAGUGGAUACGGGCAGACUAGAGGUAGGUAGGGGAGAAUGGAAUUCCCGGUGUAGCGGUGAAAUGCGCAGAUAUCGGGAGGAACACCGAUGGCGAAGGCAGGUCUCUGGGCAUUAACUGACGCUGAGGAGCGAAAGCAUGGGGAGCGAACAGG
rnacentral:rRNA from 1 species